rnacentral:rRNA from 1 species
AAUAUUGGUCAAUGGAGGCAACUCUGAACCAGCCAAGUCUCGUGAAGGAUUACUGCCCUACGGGUUGUAAACUUCUUUUUUAAGGGAAUAAAGUGAGCCACGUGAGGCUUUUUGCAUUUACCUUACGACUAAGUAUCGUCUAUCUCCGUGCCAGCAGCUGCGGUAAGACGGAGGAUUCGAGCGUUAUCCGGAUUUAUUGGGUUUAAAGGGUGCGCAGGCGGAAUAUUAAGUCGGCGGUGAAAGUUUGCAGCUUAACUGUAAAAUUGCCGUUGAAACUGGUUUUCUUGAGUGUAUAUGAAGUAGGCGGAAUUUGUAGUGUAGCGGUGAAAUGCAUAGAUAUUACAAGGAACUCCGAUUGAGAAGGCAGCUUACUAAAAUACAACUGACGCUCAGGCACGAAGGCGUGGGUAUCAAACA